GCGAGGUGAUAUACGGCGUGCCGCAGGGGAGUGUCCUUGGUCCAACGCUAUUCUUAAUAUAUAUUAAUGAAUUGUGUAAUCUUGAAUGCGUUGGGGGAAGGAUAUUCUCUUAUGCGGAUGACACUGCCAUAGUAUUC
rnacentral:precursor_RNA from 12 species